GCCAGGAUUACCAACCAGGCGAAAGGUAGGACUUUCGCCUUCAUCCCAAGUGAGGGAUAUUUGCAAGCACAUAACCAAGAGAACAGGUAUUCCAGUGUAACAUGUUUGUGAUGUGGGAGGAGGCACUGGAAUCCUGAAACUCAAAGGACUCCCAGCCAACCGGGAACAGCCAAGAAAGGAGGUUCACUCCCAGUGGAAAGAGCACGAGCUUUGCUGUCGAAGGGACCUGGAUGCAGACACUGCCGCAGCCUUUGCAGCUUCAUGCUCUUGGCACAUCGUCUACCCUCUGAGCCUCCGUUCUCUUACAUGUAAAAUGGAGAUAAAUACACAUAUCUCACAGAUCAUUAGAAAGAUUGGGAGAGAUCCUUACAGACAACACGUGGGUCAUCUGGGAGCAGACCAGGUCGGGUGUGAUUCCGUCUGUCCUGAGACUCUUAAAAUUCUAAACUUCUGCCAUCUACAAUCAAGAGCAGGAGACAAGGCAAACACAUGCGAGAAAUAAAGAAGCCAUCCUGUAGACCUGAAACACUUAACUAACUGAUCAUUAAUCAUGAGGAACAGGUUUUGUGGGCAGCACUCCCAUGCAAACACCCAACUGCCAUUAACUUGCGUGGCAGAUGUC
rnacentral:lncRNA from 1 species